rnacentral:rRNA from 1 species
GAGUGCCCCAAGCGUUGUCCGGAAUCACUGGGCGUAAAGGGUUCGUAGGCGGUUGUGUUAGUCUUCUGUAAAAGGCCGGGGCCCAACCUCGGUUUCGCAGGAGAAACGGCACAACUUGAGAACACAAGAGGUACAUGGAACUCACGGUGUAGGGGUGAAAUCCGUUGAUAUCGUGGGGAACACCAAAGGCGAAGGCAGUGUACUGGUGCGUUUCUGACGCUGAUGAACGAAAGCCAGGGUAGCGAAUGGGAUUAGAUACCCCAGUAGUCCUGGCCCUAAACGAUCUUCUCUAGCUUUUCGGAGUAUCGACCCUCUGAGAGGCGAAGCUAACGCGUUAAGAGAAGCGCCUGGGUAGUACGACCGCAAGGUUA